AAAAAAAAUUACAAAAGCGAAUAUCAGCAAACUUCAUAAAAUCAAACUCAUACAAAUCAUUUAUUGGUCAUUUUGAGAUCAUAUGACCUGCUCCCACAGUCUGGGGACUAAUCCUAUAGCAUACAAUUACUAUUGUUUAUUAAUGGCACGAAAUGGCAUGAAAAGUAAGUAAGGUGUGUGUGUGGGGGGGUGCUCACUAUUUCCAUCUCACUCUGGGGGGCUGUUAGGUCUCUAGUUAUGUCCCCCCCACUUUCCAUUACAAUAAAGUAUUUUGAACUGAUUUCAAACACUUGUAAUGGAAAGUGUUUCUAAGUGUUUUCAUUUCUGUUUUCCUACUGGCUUUAUUUUUAUUUUUAUCAGGUUUCCCUGCCUUUUUUUUCCUGAUGUUAAACUUCAGUCUUCCACCCUUUAUACUUUUCAAAUAUCCUUUUUCUAUUUUGUACUUGUUGUUAUCUGCUGUUUUAGGUAAUCCGUACUGUAGUUUUGCCUAUGUGUCUAUUCUGUAAUGUGUGUUAUGUGUUUGUUGUAAAUAAGUUUCUAAAACCCCUUUUACAUAAGUGCAAUAUAUAUUAACUGUAUUAUGCAUGAUUUUUUUUUCUCUGUGUUGCUAUACAUCAUUUUAUAUCCAUGUAGUAUUUAUUUUAGAGGGUGUGUUUGUGUGUCAUUAUCAGGGCUUCUAAUUAGAAGAGUAAUGGAUUGCAUCUCUUGCCGCUACAAAGUAUACAUCUGUCCCUCUCCGACUGGACAACAGGACUGUGGUGAGUAUCCGGUGCAGGCUGAGGAAGGAGGCCAGGCUUUGUUGAAUUGUUUUCUUCCGUGGCACCGUCUUCUAUUGGGUAGACCGGAGUACCACUACUCCUGGGUGCCAGGAGCAUCAGAGACUGAUAAGAUGAAUGAAAGUGACUUCAGUGUCUUGGUAGUGACAGAAGACUCAUCUAUUGUCUUGAAUCAACUGCGUUUGGAUGAAGAAGGAACAUACCGCUG
ensembl:lncRNA